rnacentral:rRNA from 1 species
GAGUUUGAUCUUGGCUCAGAACGAACGCUGGCGGCAUGCCUAACACAUGCAAGUCGAACGAACUCUUCGGAGUUAGUGGCGCACGGGUGCGUAACGCGUGGGAAUCUGCCCUUGGGUACGGAAUAACUCAGAGAAAUUUGUGCUGAUACCGUAUAAUGACUUCGGUCCAAAGAUUUAUCGCCCAAGGAUGAGCCCGCGUAAGAUUAGCUAGUUGGUGGGUAAAGGCCUACCAAGGCUACGAUCUUUAGCUGGUCUGAGAGGAUGAUCAGCCACACUGGGACUGAGACACGGCCCAGACUCCUACGGGAGGCAGCAGUGGGGAAUAUUGGACAAUGGGCGAAAGCCUGAUCCAGCAAUGCCGCGUGAGUGAUGAAGGCCUUAGGGUUGCAAAGCUCUUUUACCCGGGAUGAUAAUGACAGUACCGGGAGAAUAAGCUCCGGCUAACUCCGUGCCAGCCGCCGCCGU